rnacentral:rRNA from 1 species
AUCGAACGCUGGCGGCAGGCCUAACACAUGCAAGUCGAACGAGUGGCGGACGGGUGAGUAAUGUCUGGGAAACUGCCUGUUGGAGGGGGAUAACUACUGGAAACGGUAGCUAAUACCGCAUACCAUCAGAUGUGCCCCGAUGGGAUUAGCUUGUGGGUGGGGUAACGGUGCACCAAGGCGACGAUCCCUAGCUGGUCUGCGAGGAUGACCAGCCACACGGGAACGGAGACACGGGCCAGACGCCUACGGGAGGAAGCAGUGGGGAAUAUCGGACAAUGGGGGCAAGCCUGAUGAAGACAGGCCGCGUGUAUGAAGAAGGCUUUCGGGUUGUAAAGUACGUUCAGCGGGGAGGCGUUACCCGCAGAAGAAGCACCGGCUAACUCCGUGCCAGCCGCCGCGGUAAUUC